GUCGAGAAUCUUGGGCAAUGCGCGAAAGCGUGACCCAGCAAUGCCGCGUGUAUGAUGAAGGCCCUCGGGUCGUAAAGUACUGUCUCCCGUGACGAAAAAAAUGACGGUAGCGGGGAAGGAAGCCACGGCUAACUACGUGCCAGCAGCCGCGGUAAUACGUAGGUGGCGAGCGUUGUUCGGAUUUAUUGGGCGUAAAGGGUCUGUAGGAGGUAUGUUAAAUACGGGGUGAAAUCCCGAAGCUCAACUUCGGAAUUGCCUUGUAGACUGACGGACUGGAGUACCGGAGAGGUAAGCGGAAUACCAGGUGUAGCGGUGGAAUGCGUAGAUAUCUGGUAGAACACCAAGAGCGAAGGCAGCUUGCUGGACGGAAACUGACUCUGAAAGACGAAAGCAUGGGGAGCAAACAGGAUUAGAAACCCGGGUAGUCC
rnacentral:rRNA from 1 species